UACGUAGGGUGCGAGCGUUAAUCGGAAUUACUGGGCGUAAAGCGUGCGCAGGCGGUUCGUUAUGUCCGAUGUGAAAGCCCCGAGCUCAACUUGGGAAUGGCAUUGGAAACUGGCGGGCUGGAGUGUGGCAGAGGGGGGUGGAAUUCCACGGUGUAGCAGUGAAAUGCGUAGGAGAUGUGGAGGAACACCGAUGGCGAAGGCAGCCCCUGGGCCAACACUGACGCCUCAGGCACGAAGCGUGGGAGCAAACAG
rnacentral:rRNA from 1 species